CGACAGCAAUAUGAAGGUCAGGCUGAAGACCUUACCCGAUUAGCUGAGAGGUGGUGCAUGGCCGUCGUCAGUUCGUACUGUGAAGCAUCCUGUUAAGUCAGGCAACGAGCGAGACCCACGUCCACAGUUGCCAGCAUACCCUCCGGGGUGAUGGGUACACUGUGGAGACCGCCGCUGCUAAAGCGGAGGAAGGAGUGGGCAACGGUAGGUCAGUAUGCCCCCGAAUCUCCCGGGGCUACACGCGGGCUACAAUGGUUGGUACAAUGGGCAUCUACCCCGAAAGGGGAAGGAAAUCUCUUAAAGCCAAUCGUAGUUCGGAUUGAGGGCUGCAACUCGCCCUCAUGAAGCUGGAAUCCGUAGUAAUCGCGUUUCAACAGAACGCGGUGAAUACGUCCCUGCUCCUU
rnacentral:rRNA from 1 species